UAUAAAAACAAGUUAUAGUUUCAUUAAUUCUUACUAUCAGUAAGAGGUGGUUUUUAU
rnacentral:tRNA from 1 species